rnacentral:rRNA from 1 species
UACGUAGGGUGCAAGCGUUAAUCGGAAUUACUGGGCGUAAAGCGUGCGCAGGCGGUUGUGCAAGACAGAUGUGAAAUCCCCGGGCUCAACCUGGGAAUUGCAUUUGUGACUGCACGGCUAGAGUGUGUCAGAGGGGGGUAGAAUUCCACGUGUAGCAGUGAAAUGCGUAGAGAUGUGGAGGAAUACCGAUGGCGAAGGCAGCCCCCUGGGAUAACACUGACGCUCAUUGCACGAAAAGCCGUGGGGGAGCAAAACAGG